UACGUAGGGAGCAAGCGUUAUCCGGAUUUACUGGGUGUAAAGGGCGCGCAGGCGGGUCGGCAAGUUGGAAGUGAAAUCUAUGGGCUUAACCCAUAAACUGCUUUCAAAACUGCUGGUCUUGAGUGAUGGAGAGGCAGGCGGAAUUCCGUGUGUAGCGGUGAAAUGCGUAGAUAUACGGAGGAACACCAGUGGCGAAGGCGGCCUGCUGGACAUUAACUGACGCUGAGGCGCGAAAGCGUGGGGAGCAAACAGG
rnacentral:rRNA from 1 species